UACAGAGGUCUCAAGCGUUGUUCGGAUUCAUUGGGCGUAAAGGGUGCGUAGGCGGCGCGGUAAGUCGGGUGUGAAAUCUUGGAGCUUAACUCCGAAACUGCAUUCGAUACUGCCGUGCUUGAGGACUGGAGAGGAGACUGGAAUUUACGGUGUAGCGGUGAAAUGCGCAGAUAUCGGGAAGAACACCCGUGGCGAAGGCGGUUCCCUGGGACGGUACUGACGCUGAGACGCGAAAGCGUGGGGAGCGAACAGG
rnacentral:rRNA from 1 species